rnacentral:rRNA from 2 species
AGUGGGGAAUAUUGGACAAUGGGCGAAAGCCUGAUCCAGCCAUGCCGCGUGUGUGAAGAAGGUCUUCGGAUUGUAAAGCACUUUAAGUUGGGAGGAAGGGCAGUAAGUUAAUACCUUGCUGUUUUGACGUUACCAACAGAAUAAGCACCGGCUAACUUCGUGCCAGCAGCCGCGGUAAUACGAAGGGUGCAAGCGUUAAUCGGAAUUACUGGGCGUAAAGCGCGCGUAGGUGGUUCGUUAAGUUGGAUGUGAAAGCCCCGGGCUCAACCUGGGAACUGCAUCCAAAACUGGCGAGCUAGAGUAUGGCAGAGGGUGGUGGAAUUUCCUGUGUAGCGGUGAAAUGCGUAGAUAUAGGAAGGAACACCAGUGGCGAAGGCGACCACCUGGGCUAAUACUGACACUGAGGUGCGAAAGCGUGGGGAGCAAA